AGUUUUUCAUUUGGCGUGGCUAGCUCACUACUUUUUUAAUAUUGCUAGCUGCCUUGUGAAGGGCUUA
rnacentral:pre_miRNA from 1 species